ACGAACGCUGGCGGCGUGCCUAAUACAUGCAAGUAGAACGCUGAAGAGAGGAGCUUGCUCUUCUUGGAUGAGUUGCGAACGGGUGAGUAACGCGUAGGUAACCUGCCUUGUAGCGGGGGAUAACUAUUGGAAACGAUAGCUAAUACCGCAUAACAAUGGAUGACACAUGUCAUUUAUUUGAAAGGGGCAAUUGUUCCACUACAAGAUGGACCUGCGUUGUAUUAGCUAGUAGGUGAGGUAAUGGCUCACCUAGGCGACGAUACAUAGCCGACCUGAGAGGGUGAUCGGCCACACUGGGACUGAGACACGGCCCAGACUCCUACGGGAGGCAGCAGUAGGGAAUCUUCGGCAAUGGGGGCAACCCUGACCGAGCAACGCCGCGUGAGUGAAGAAGGUUUUCGGAUCGUAAAGCUCUGUUGUAAGUCAAGAACGGGUGUGAGAGUGGAAAGUUCACACUGUGACGGUAGCUUACCAGAAAGGGACGGCUAACAACGUG
rnacentral:rRNA from 1 species